rnacentral:rRNA from 1 species
AACGAACGCUGGCGGCAUGCCUAACACAUGCAAGUCGAACGAUCCCUUCGGGGAUAGUGGCGCACGGGUGCGUAACGCGUGGGAACCUGCCCUUAGGUUCGGAAUAACUCAGAGAAAUUUGAGCUAAUACCGGAUAAUGUCUUCGGACCAAAGAUUUAUCGCCUUUGGAUGGGCCCGCGUUGGACUAGCUAGUUGGUGGGGUAAAGGCCUACCAAGGCGACGAUCCAUAGCUGGUCUGAGAGGAUGAUCAGCGACACUGGGACUGAGACACGGCCCAGACUCCUACGGGAGGCAGCAGUGGGGAAUAUUGGACCAUGGGCGAAAGCCUGAUCCAGCAAUGCCGCGUGAGUGAUGAAGGCCUUAGGGUUGUAAAGCUCUUUUACCCGGGAUGAUAAUGACAGUACCGGGAGAAUAAGCCCCGGCUAACUCCGUG